GACGAACCGUCCUAACGUUGUUCGGAAUCACUGGGCUUAAAGGGCGCGUAGGCGGCCUCCGCAAGUCAGUUGUGAAAUCUCCGAGCUUAACUCGGAAAGGUCAACUGAUACUGCGGGGCUAGAGUGCGGAAGGGGCAACUGGAAUUCUUGGUGUAGCGGUGAAAUGCGUAGAUAUCAAGAGGAACACCUGCGGCGAAGGCGGGUUGCUGGGCCGACACUGACGCUGAGGCGCGAAAGCUAGGGGAGCGAACGGG
rnacentral:rRNA from 1 species